rnacentral:rRNA from 1 species
CUUGACUCUAGAGAUAGAGCCUUCCCCUUCGGGGGACAAAGUGACAGGUGGUGCAUGGUUGUCGUCAGCUCGUGUCGUGAGAUGUUGGGUUAAGUCCCGCAACGAGCGCAACCCUUAAGCUUAGUUGCCAGCAUUAAGUUGGGCACUCUAAGUUGACUGCCGGUGACAAACCGGAGGAAGGUGGGGAUGACGUCAAAUCAUCAUGCCCCUUAUGAUUUGGGCUACACACGUGCUACAAUGGACGGUACAAAGGGCAGCGAACCCGCGAGGUCAAGCAAAUCCCAUAAAGCCGUUCUCAGUUCGGAUUGUAGUCUGCAACUCGACUACAUGAAGCUGGAAUCGCUAGUAAUCGUAGAUCAGCAUGCUACGGUGAAUACGUUCCCGGGUCUUGUACACACCGAACA